GGCCCGCACAAGCGGUGGAGUAUGUGGUUUAAUUCGAAGCAACGCGCAGAACCUUACCCAGCCUUGACAUCUUCGGAAUCCCUGCGAAAUCAGGGAGUGCCUCCUUACGGAGGAAUCGAAUGACAGGUGCUGCAUGGCUGUCGUCAGCUCGUGUCGUGAGAUGUUCGGUUAAGUCCGGCAACGAGCGCAACCCCCUAUCGUUAGUUGCUACCAGUUCGGCUGGGCACUCUAGCGAGACCUCCCGUGUUAAACCGGCGGAAGAUGGGAUGACGUCAAGUCCUCAUGGGCCCUUAUGGCUGGGCUACACACGUACUACAAUGGUGACUACAGAGGGCAGCGAGACCGCAAGGUGGAGCCAAUCCCAAAAAGGUCGCCUC
rnacentral:rRNA from 1 species